rnacentral:rRNA from 1 species
CUACGGGAGGCACCAGUAAGGAAUAUUGCGCAAUGGAGGCAACUCUGACGCAGCCAUGCCGCGUGCAGGAAGAAGGCCUUAUGGGUCGUAAACUGCUUUUAUUUAGGAAUAAACCCCCGAACGUGUUCGGGGCUGACGGUACUAAACGAAUAAGCACCGGCUAACUCCGUGCCAGCAGCCGCGGUAAUACGGAGGGUGCAAGCGUUAUCCGGAUUGAUUGGGUUUAAAGGGUGCGCAGGCGGGCUAUUAAGUCAGUGGUGAAAUCCCGGGGCUCAACUCCGGAACUGCCAUUGAUACUGAUAGUCUUGAGUUUGGUUGAAGUGGGCGGAAUGUAGCAUGUAGCGGUGAAAUGCAUAGAUAUGCUACAGAACACCAAUCGCGAAGGCAGCUCACUAAGCCAAAACUGACGCUCAUGCACGAAAGCGUGGGGAUCAAACAGGAUUAGAUACCCUAGUAGUC